rnacentral:lncRNA from 1 species
CAAAUUUCGGGGACUAAGAGCUUUGCCUUCUUGGCUAGUUAGUAUUAAUCUGUAAUCCUUGUUGUGGAGCUGGUUUGGCUGGUAAAUUAGAUGUAAAGAGAAAGAAAAGGCAUGGACUUCAAUCUUUUGUACUCUGAUCAAUUCGUAGGUAGCUUCGUGUGAAAUUCACUUCUAAUGGGAAUUAAUGGGGUUGGACUUUGACUCCUGUAAUUGAUAAAAAGCAUGGACUUCAAUCUUUUGUACUCUGAUCAAUUCAUAGGUAGCUUCGUGUGAAAUUCACUUCUAAUGGGAAUUAAUGGGGUUGGACUUUGACUCGUGUAAUUGAUUUUAGUGAGACUUGGAACCCAUAUUUUAUACUUGCAAGAGAGGUAGACUAGAGUUUCACUCUAAUGCGAGAGAUAUAAAUUUAAGAUUUUUUUUAAUUAAUUUUCUCUCUUUUAUUGUUAGGACUUACAAAAAAAAGUUUUAAAAAAUAGGUAUACUUAAGUUCUUAUGUACUUUUUUUAUCAAU